UGGACAUGUUGUAUUUUAAAAGUCAGUAAUCUUAUAUUAAUGUUAAAAUGUGGUGUUCCAAAUUUCAGUGUUAUGAGCACUGAUUAGGUUCCCAGGCUAUCAUUAAUUUAAUACACAUUGUAGCUAAGAUAGGAUUUUGAUACUAUUAUAUUAUAGUGGAUUCAUCUGUGUCCUCCCCAUCCCCCAAAUAUGUUCAAGUCCUAAACUCCUGUACUUGUGAAUGUGACUCUAUUUGGAAAAGGGUUUUUGCAGGCAUAAUCAAAUCAAGAUGAGGUCAUACUGGAUGAGGACAGGCUCUAGAUUCAGUGACUCUUAUCUUCAUAAGAGACUUGGACACAGAGGGAAGAAGAUCAUGUGAGGACGGAGGCAGAGGUUGGCAUUAAGCUUCCACAAGCCAAGGAAUGCCUGGACCCAUCAAAAGUUGGAAAAGGCAAGAAAAGAUUCUCUUCUAGCACCUUCGAUGGAGUGUGGCCAUGCUGACACCUCAGUUUCAGAAUUUUGGCCUCCAGAAUGGAGAAGAGUCUUGACAACAUUCAACAAAUACUCAGCGUGAUGACAAGUCUGCUGUUCCCUGUUAUAGAUGAUGUCUCAUGGGACUGAGUAACGGGCUAAGAUUGCCCAAUCGGAGGCUGUUCCAUGUCAUCCUCCCUCAAAAACGUUAGAUAAUGGUGCCUCCACCAUGUGGAACAUCAAGGUUGGUUGUGUUGGGGCAAAGGGAGCAGUGGAUAAUUUCACACUGGGGAUUAAAACUUCCACCCAGAAAUGACACAUUACUCCUUGAUAUGAUUUGGUUGUGUCCCCACCCAAAUCUCAUGUUGGAUUGUAGCUCCCAUAAUUCCCAUGUAUUGUGGGAGGCACCCAGUGGGAGGAAACUGAAUAAUGAGGGUGGGUCUUUCCCAUGCUGUUCUCGUGGUAGUGAAUAAGUCUCGUGAGAGCUAAUGGUUUCAUAAAAGGGAGUUCUCCUGCAUAAACUCUCUUGCCUGCCGCCGUGUAAGACAUGACUUUGCUCCUCAUUCACCUUCUGUCAUAAUUGU
rnacentral:lncRNA from 1 species